GACAGAGGGUGCAAACGUUGUUCGGAAUUACUGGGCGUAAAGCGCGUGUAGGCGGUCUCGCAAGGUCGGAUGUGAAAGCCCAGGGCUCAACCCUGGAAGUGCACUCGAUACUGCGAGGCUAGAGUCCCGGAGAGGAUGGUGGAACUCUCGGUGUAGAGGUGAAAUUCGUAGAUAUCGAGAAGAACACCGGUGGCGAAGGCGGCCAUCUGGACGGUGACUGACGCUGAGACGCGAAAGCGUGGGGAGCAAACAGG
rnacentral:rRNA from 1 species